AUAAGGUUGCAGAAAGAACUGUGCUGUUGCUUGUUGCACAAAAAGAGAUAUUUUAAGACCUAGGAGUGUUGCGUGUUCCGAGGGGCUUAUUAAGGCAGCGAUACAACGACAGGGUGUAAAAGGCAAACUUCAGUCAGUAGAGAGUGGGGACAAUUGGAUCAGAAACCAAAGGGAUUAAUGCCAGAGCAAAGAACGUUUACACGCUGGACGACGCCAACAGACCCGAGCUGAGUCAUUUAACAGCUUCUUACAUCUGAUCUAUCUACUACUUUGAGCCUCAAAGUGAAUUAUCUCUGACCAUUAUCAAAAGAAACUUGUGAAGGCGAUGUGUGAAGUACAGAAGGUGGCUCAGAGGAACCCAGGCAGCGUGUUCAUUUGUGGCUGAUCCCUGCCCUUAUCAGCCGAUUCCCUCCAAGAAAGCCCAAAUCGAUCAACAACGUCGAAAGUUGCUUACUUCAAGAGGAAAUAUGCGGAAGAGGAGGAUGUACAAAGAGACAUUCAUGGCUAUUUUCAGAGACACCUGAUACUGCCAGAGGACCGCAGCUGCAUCCUCAAACUCUCCAUGGAGAAGCUGAGGUUCCUGGAGGACCCAGAGACCUACUUACGGCGCUCCGUGCUCAUCAACAACCUGCUGCGGAAGAUCCACCAUGAGGAGGAGGAGAUGGAGGAAGGGCAGGGAGCUUGCGGCAGAGUGCCCGGCCAGAGCCUGCUCUACUCGGACAGGAAGAGGCUGAAGUUGGUGGUGGCAGACUGCUGCUCCCAGGCCUUUGGGUACGAAGAGAUACAGCACUACCAUGUCGUACCCUACAGCUCCACCAGCUACCUUUACAGACUGGGCGGCUACCCCAGUGCCAUGCCUGAGCACAGCACUAAAGUCCUGGUCUAUAAACUGGAUGAUAACGGGUGAGCGGGUUUCUUGCUACCUACGCAUGGAAAGAAACAGAUACUCACCCACACACCUGCACACAUUCAAACAACAUUUGGUCACAGCCUGAGAUUGCUGCAGCGUGGGCUGCUUCAUUGAGUGCCUGUGCAGGCAGCCUCUUAACGUUCCGAAACGGUUGUUCUUAUUGGGCUUAAAAGACAUUUAUGCUAUGAAUGUACAGUAACAAUCCAAAUCACCAUCAGCUUGUUUUAAAAGGACACAUUGACAUUGAAGAUUCACUGCCAUGGAAUAUCAGAAUAACAAAUAACUUUAUAACUAGACUGUUUUGCGGCUAGAACCGGUAUAAUUUUCAGGGAUAAUUUUUUCAGUGUGGUUAUUCAAACCAUUGCUAUAUCAUUAAUGUACUUGUUUGAGAACAACGGAUACGUCUGAAUUAUCAUAGCUAUAAAUCACAAUUGUGAUGGUUCUGAGUGAAGUUUCGUAGUGUACAAUCUCAUGCUUUCUGCGUUUCACAUUGUGAAAAGCCAUAUUUGUGUUAAGACAGAAUAAAUAAUGUUUCAGAAAAAUCUUCUAUUACAAAUACUUUGGAAAUAUGACAGAAAAUCGUAUAUAGUAAAUGCUUGUGAACUAUGGGAGAGAAGACACUAAGUCAAAUGAUAACAACAUUCAUAGGAACAGGUUUCAGAAGUGUAAAUUGUUGCAUUGCAGCAAUCAGUUUCAUUGUGGUUUAGUUUUUUGAACAGAGGCACAGAAUGUAUAUAUCGUAGACCCGAGGAGACAACACAGCAGUACAAAGCCAGCACAAAUUCAGUAUAAUAAUUUUUUCUUGUCGAUGUUUGUACUGUGAAACUGAAGAGGAAUUAAUUUGGAAAUGUAACAGUGGUAGAGGCACAUGCAGCCACACACUUACUAAUUGCAUUGUGCUGCCCUCUACUGAUGACAGUUUUACAGGUGAGUCUGAAUUUUCAUUGCAGAUUUGCACUACAGGAAUAGCCGGUAAAUCUAUUCUUUUCUUGCUAUACAAAUGGCACGGGGUCAUUUCGGAGGUUAUAUCUGUCAUGUUGUCAUUCUUUCCCUCUGACUACUGUGUGUCACAAUCCCUAAACUUUUCUGUCUUCUGGAUUCAUGUAAUCUUUUUGUUCUGUACAGCUAUACUAUUUACAUAUUGAAAAGCCACACUCUUCAGUACUACUGACUUCAUAGUGAAACCUCAAAGCGUGUUCCCUGUGAUUACUUUUUUGUUAGUUGUAAAAAUUGAUAAGCAUCGUUUUUUAGGCUGUGCACGUGAGGUGACAGGCCUUGAGAUUGACAAGCACAUCUUGACGUUGUGUGUUUAUUCCCUUACAGAGUCAAACCAAAGACUUUAAAAUAGGUAUUUGCUGACUCUUUGCCUGUAAAGAUGCAACGAUUUAAAGGAGAAUAAAACUCCAACCCACAGUUUUCUGGGUCAUAGUGAAUACAGAUAGGUGGGCCUGCCAGCCACAGGUUGCAGGUACAGGCCACUGCACCCACAGGGGAAUGCUUCUUAGGGAAAGCUGCUAUGGUGUUGCUGUGAUGGAAUUCUCAUUUCUGCACUUUUUGAAGCCAGAGCAGAUCUAAGAUCUCUGGUCCAAGUCUCUGAGUUCUCUGUUUUUUAUUUCAUUUAUAUAUGCUCUGUACUAUGUCGUUUGUCGGAAGAUUUCUUGUUCCUGCCAAAAUCAAGUUUGAUAUAAGUUUGUGGAUUGUUUGAAAAUUUUUUGAGAGAUGGAUACCAUAAUGUAUGAUUGUUUAGGAUUAUAUGGUGAUAAAUUACAUUGAUUUAAUUUAAAUUACAACUACGUGGAAUAAAAAUAAAACAAUAAUGCCAUAUUUGAAUACUUGUGCGGACAACAAUUUUUCUGUAAUUAUGUACAGAGUGUCAAAGUCAUUGUUAUUUUGAUAUAUGUCAGUGUGAUUCUAAUCAGUUUUUUGAAAAGUGACCCAAAAGUGCUAUGAAAAUGACUCAUUCGGUAAUUAUACAGUUGGUAAUAUUUUUCUGAAUUAAAAAUUAAAUGCAAAAUAUUUUACUCUAUGAAAUUAUUUUUUGAAGAGAGUAACUGUUCAAUAUUUCUUCAAAAUAUUCUUAAAAAAUAAUGUUAUUUUGGCACAUGUAUUGGAAAAGUAGCAUCAAUGAUCUGCCUUAUUUUCAAGGAUGUUUACUAUCAAAUAAAAUUUUAAAACAUUAAAA